GCCUGGCUAGCUCAGUUGGUGGAGCAUGCAACUCUUGAUCUUGGGGUUAUGAGUUCAAGUCCCAUGUUGGGUG
rnacentral:tRNA from 1 species